AAACAUGUCUUUAUGAAAAUAAUAUAAAGUCUGAUCUGCUCCAUGAAAAUUUUAAAUAGCUGCAGUAUAUUAACUGUACAAAGGUAGCAUAAUCAAUAGUUUUUUAAAUGAAAGCUGGAAUGAAGGAUUUUAUAAGGUAAUUAUUGUCUCAAAUUUAAUAAAAUUAAAAUUUUUUUUUUAGUAAAAAUACUGAAAAAAAUUUAAAAGACGAGAAGACCCUAUAGAUUUUUAUAUUUUAUUUUAAAAUAAUUUAAAUUAAAAAAUUAAAUUUUAAUUGAAAAAUAUUUGAUUGGGGAAAUUAUUAAAUUUAAAAAAUUUUAAUAUAUUAAAACCUAUAAUUAUAGAAUUAUUGAUCUUAAUUAUUUAAAUUAAUAGAAUAAAAUACCUUAGGGAUAACAGCGUAAUUUUUUUAGAGAGAUCAUAUUAAUAAAAAAGUUUGCGACCUCGAUGUUGAAUUAAGAUAAAAUUUUUAUGAAGAAGUAAAAAAUUUUUGGUCUGUUCGACCAUUAAAAUCUUACGUGAUC
rnacentral:rRNA from 1 species